AACGAACGCUGGCGGCAUGCCUAACACAUGCAAGUCGAACGAGAUCUUCGGGUCUAGUGGCGCACGGGUGCGUAACGCGUGGGAAUCUGCCCUUUGGUUCGGAAUAACAAUUGGAAACGACUGCCAAUACCGGAUGAUGACGAAAGUCCAAAGAUUUAUCGCCAGAGGAUGAGCCCGCGUAGGAUUAGCUAGUUGGUGUGGUAAAGGCGCACCAAGGCGACGAUCCUUAGCUGGUCUGAGAGGAUGAUCAGCCACACUGGGACUGAGACACGGCCCAGACUCCUACGGGAGGCAGCAGUGGGGAAUAUUGGACAAUGGGCGAAAGCCUGAUCCAGCAAUGCCGCGUGAGUGAUGAAGGCCUUAGGGUUGUAAAGCUCUUUUACCCGGGAUGAUAAUGACAGUACCGGGAGAAUAAGCCCCGGCUAACUCCGUGCCAGCCGCUGCCGUAA
rnacentral:rRNA from 1 species